UACGGAGGGUGCCAGCGUUGUCCGGAAUUAUUGGGCGUAAAGAGCUCAUAGGCGGUCUGUCACGUCGGAUGUGAAAGCCCGGGGCUUAACCCCGGGUCUGCAUUCGAUACGGGCAGACUAGAGUGUGGUAGGGGAGAUCGGAAUUCCUGGUGUAGCGGUGAAAUGCGCAGAUAUCAGGAGGAACACCGGUGGCGAAGGCGGAUCUCUGGGCCAUUACUGACGCUGAGGAGCGAAAGCGUGGGGAGCGAACAGG
rnacentral:rRNA from 1 species